ACCUGGGUGGCUCAGUCAGUUGAGCGUCUGACUUUGGCUCAGGUCAUGAUGUCACUCUUUGUGGGUUCAAGCCCCGCGUCGGGCU
rnacentral:tRNA from 1 species